AAAUUUGAGGGUGACCUGGUUCUGACAAGCCACCCCACUGAUCACCAGUGUUUUUUCAACUGAUCUUACUGGCUUGCUGGGUGUCCCCUUUCUCCUCCACAGUUUAAGGUUUGUCCUUCUGAAACAGAACACUUGGUCAAAAAGAUACUUUAAAAAAAAAUUAUAGAACUUUCUGUGUUGAUUUCUAUGGUGAUUUCUGUUUAGGUAAACAUCAAAAUUCUGGUUU
rnacentral:sRNA from 1 species